rnacentral:rRNA from 1 species
GACGAACCGUGCGAACGUUGUUCGGAAUCACUGGGCUUAAAGGGCGCGUAGGCGGGUCUGUAAGUCCGGGGUGAAAGCCCCCAGCUCAACUGGGGAAGUGCCUUGGAAACUGCAGGUCUGGAGGGAGGUAGGGGCAUGUGGAACUUCGGGUGGAGCGGUGAAAUGCGUUGAUAUCCGAAGGAACGCCGGUGGCGAAAGCGACGUGCUGGAUCUCUUCUGACGCUGAGGCGCGAAAGCCAGGGUAGCGAACGGG